UCUCGCGCAGACCCAUUGUCGCCCGCAGCUGACGUCAGCGAUCCCUUGGAAAAGACCCAUCCUUCGCCUCGAGCAAUCAGUAUGGAUUCAUCCGCCACUGCAAAGAAAGAGUUCCUUGAGAAAGCGGGGAAUAAACGAAGACGUGGGCUGGCGGACAAGAACAGCUGCACGAAAAAGAACAUGGGCCCACCCAGAUGCCCAGAUAUUUUACCAUCAGCUCCUUCGAGGAGCAGGCUGAAGGGUUGGCAAGGGAGGCUGUUUCCUGUAGCAGAAAGCUGGCUUAGUGUGUUAAUCAUUCUGGUUUGUCUGUUGGCAGUCAACAUCCUGCUCAGACACUGGGUUAGUGAAGCUUUCUACCUCUGGUAAUAUAUGGUAGUACAGUUGUUGGAUUAGUAAAUCAGAGCAACUUUCAAUUCAAGGCUGGUUCCUGAAGUUAACCUGUCUGAUUUAUUCAUCUUCUUUUCGGGAAGCAGAUCUACCACCCUUGUCUGGUCUGGCCUACAUGUGAUUCCAGACCCACAGCAUGGCCUGUCUUCUCAAAUGGCUGAGUAAGACAAUAGGUUCAAAGGUAAUUGGGUAUAGACAGCCAGUGACUCAUGUGAUCGGAAAACCAAGAAAAUGCAUGCACUUGUCUUCCCAGGCAUCCAGUGUUGCAGUCUCUGAUGAAGUGAUCUACUGUUUCAAUGACAUGAAAGUCAGCAAAUCCUGCAGCCAGGCAGAUUUGAAGAAGAGGAAGGAGGCAGUACUCUUUAAAUUGAAUGAUAGUAAAGAGAAAAUAAUUUUGGACGAUGAAAAGCAGAUUACAGUUGGAGGUGUUGUGAAGGGGAAGGUUUAUGACCAACUCAACAGCUUUAUUAAAAUGCUUCCAUAGAACAAUUGUCACUGUGCCUUCUAUAAUGCAUCCUUCAAGACCAAGGAAACAAAGAAAGAAGAGUGGAUUUUUAUGUGCCGUUCUCAAGAAGGCAUGUGGAACAUGUUGCACAGUGACGUGUGCAACCAAGCCAUGGUAAAUCAACAUGUCACUUUAAAGAUAGCAUGCAUUUGACUUGCUUGAGGAUGCUUCUGUCAAUCGUGAACUCAUAGAUUGCAGCGGUGCGAUUUUUGUACCGUCCCAGUGACAAUGAAGGAAAGGUUGGAACUUUCACAGUUUCCCAUCCCUGUCCAACUUCCUGCACAGAUGUACAUACAAUUUCCUCAAAACUGGGAAGACAAUGGAAUCAGCUUGUCAUUUGAAAUCCACUGCUUUGUGGGUCAUUUGGUUUGACAUCCCUCUUUGUCAAAAUAUGCAUCUGCGAAACACCUUGCGCUGUUUUCAAACUUUAAAUGAGUUAAAUAAAUGCAAUAAAGCCAGAAAAUGCUGGUAACACUCAUCAGGUCAGGCAACAUCUGUGAAGGGAAACAGAAUUAGUAAUUUCAGACUGAGAACCUUUCAUCAGAACUGUUGAUUAAAUGCAGAUCGUAGUGACUGUUAGUGUCUUCAUCAGUUCUCUGGCCACACUGCUUUAAUCAAUCAUUUCCAGGUGGCAAAAACAUCAGAUGUCAAGAUGAGAAUUGUCUAAUGGAAAUGGUAGUGUUAUUACUCUUUAGAUAGUAUUUUCUGGAUUUGAAUCAGUAAUUAUAAAAAAGGAAGAAGUCCUAGGUGAAUAGUUAUGCAUGGCAGGUCUUCAAAGUGCGUUUGGUUACUUAGUUAACAUGAUCUAGUAAUCUAUUGGCACUGAUAUGAAAUAGACAUAAGGACCUAUCCUAGCACAUAAUAUUACAGUCUGCGUUUCAUUGUGAUUGAACUGGCAAGCUCUGGAUAUGUAAUGGGUAUCCCCAGACAUCUCGCCAGAAGACAGACCUUAUAGAUCUCUAUCUGCUGGAAUGUGUGGCCUGUGAGGUUCUAUGAUAAACAUCUAGAAUGCCCAAGGAAAGAAAAAGCUGUCAAAUAUGUAGUUAUUUGCCUCAGUUUCAUAAUUUUAUUUCAUACACUCUCUUCCUGCAUGGAAAUUGUAAAUCUCCUUUUGAAUGCAUUUAUGGUACCAUUACCUAGAGUGUAAUUUUUCCCUUAUUUCGAUAAAGCCACUGACAACUUUGAAAACUCCUGUGCCUCAAGUUAGAUAUCAAUUUGAUGAGUGUUACAACAGUGAAGAACAGGAAGUUGUAAUAUCAAUAAUACCCACUUUCCAUCCAUCACCACUACAAUCCAUCACAACAAACAAACAGAUCAGGUUUUAAUCAAUCAAGCAGUGUAACACAAAAUUGAAUUGCUUAAAAGUUUGAUUUUCUUCUUUGCAAGCAAGUGAAACUGGAUGACAAGUGACAAUGCCUGCUUUAAUUGUCU